UACGUAGGGCGCAAGCGUUAUCCGGAAUUAUUGGGCGUAAAGAGCUCGUAGGCGGUUUGUCACGUCUGCUGUGAAAACUGGAGGCUCAACUCCGGAUCUGCGGUGGGUACGGGCAGACUAGAGUGAUGUAGGGGAGACUGGAAUUCCUGGUGUAGCGGUGAAAUGCGCAGAUAUCAGGAGGAACACCGAUGGCGAAGGCAGGUCUCUGGGCAUUAACUGACGCUGAGGAGCGAAAGCAUGGGGAGCGAACAGG
rnacentral:rRNA from 1 species